ensembl:lncRNA
UUUACGUUAUUGCAUCAGGAGGAAAAGGAGUCAGACGGCUGCCGCCUGGUCUGAGGGCAAAACCGAGGGAGAACCGGCUCCACGAGCGGGGGCGGGAGUAAGUGCCAGCGAGGGCCUGCCAGCUCAAGCCUUGAACCCCUCCAGCCAGCCCCACUCGCCCUGUCGCUGAGCGAGCUCCCCUGCCAGGAGUGUUUUUACCCUCUCCUGUCUCCCCUCCUUAGGGGGGAUCAACUAGAAGGUUCUAUUGAACCCCUGGAGCUCAGGGAGCCUGGUUUGGUGUUACCAUCUAAGACCCCACAGGGCACCCAAGUUGGACCCGGAGCCACGUCUGCAGCAGGACAGUCUCCCUUGUGCCACCGACCCGCAGGAGGCCUUAAUGCAAACAGCCAGCUGCGGGGUUUCUAUGGCACACAGGCCAUUCUCAACUUCUGACUGGUUUAACUGGAAAAAGCUAAAUCGUCCUACUUGCCCAGAGGCCCCCCUUCACCUGGCGGACCUUUUCACAUCCAGCCCUGCCACCCGCCAUCCCUCCCGGGCAGCCGUUCACACUCGUAGAACACGAUGCUGGCUGGGAUGACCCGAGGAUGGUGCUGACAAGGCCAGAGAGGAGGCCCCGGCGGAAGAGCCCGGAAGCAAUGUGGCGGCUGCCACUGCGGAGCCGGACUGGGGUCCCCUGAUGGGGAUACGCUCCCCCCCCCCGCCCUGGCACUACGGCUGGGCGUCUCGGUGGGUCUGCCAAGGGGGCUGCCUGGGCAAGGAGCUGAGACAAAGUCCAGGAGAUGCACCAGAACCCAAUGAAGACCCAUCCGAGUUGGCAGGAGGAAUCUAUCCAGCUUAUGGGCACUACACUGCUGCAGACCCUGAGGCCCCCGAAAAUACGAGAAAGGAAACAGAGCGCCCCAGAUGUAAGAGGGGAAUGACAACAGCGAGAGGGUGCUCGCCAAGUGUUCAGCCACAGGGACCAACGGCGGAAGCCAGAGGCUGUGAGACGAGGCUGCCUUCUGGCAGCAGCACUGGUUUCCCCGAAGCCAAGGCACCUAGUAAGCGAGGGAGCCACCCGGGCCUGGGGAGCAGAGCGCCCGAGGCUGGAGAGUAGGACAAAACCGCUAAAACAAAGGCGGGAGCCUCUGCUGGGAGAGCAAGAGAAGCCUCUGAUGAGGAACGGAGAGGCCCAGGGGCUCCCUUGGACUUGAGGCGCCCAAUUCCAACAUCCCCACAGGAGCCCGGGUGACUCCGACGGGGGGGCCCGUGGACCGGCUUUCCGAUAGAUACGCGUGCGACACACCCUGUGGUAAACACCCGGGUGGCACAGGAAACACCCCAUCCAUCCCAGUUUUGGGAGUUUCUGGAGAAGGACCAGUUGCUCUUUCUUACAACGGCUAGAACGCCGAUGAGGGGACCUCACCCUGAAACCCAGUUGCGUACACGCGCCAGCGCGUCCGAUCCAUCGUCUGGGCCGCGAUCUUCUUUGUAAAUUAAAUGCUCAAGUCACUAUUUUGCCAGAAGGGCUUGUCAUCAGAGUCCCACGGGAGCGCACCGUGAGCCUACACAUGGCACUCGCGGAUGCCCCAGCAAAGGAGGCAGCGCCCCUUCCCCCAGAGGCCUGCAAAGAGGUGAGGCCGGAAGCAUGGGCUGAAGGCACCCAGGGCGGCCCAGAACGCCUGGCUGAUACAAAUGCCGUCAUAAAGGGAUGCUGAGACACCUCAUCUAAAACAGUGCCCUCUGAGGCAAGAGGCCAAAAGGGAGCUCAGCCAAUUCUCGAAAAGUGUUUUUGUUUUGUUUUGUUUUUGUCUUUUUAGGGCUGCACCUGAGGAAUAUGGAGGUUCCCAGGCCAGGGGUUGAAUCGGAGCUACAGCUGCCAGCCUGCACCAGAGCCACAGCAAACACAGGAUCUGAGCCGCGCCUGCGUCCUACACCACAGCUCACGGCAACGCCGGAUCCUUCACCCACGGAGCGAGGCCAGGGAUCAAACCCGCAACCUCAUGGUUCCUAGUCGGAUUUGUUUCCACUGCGCCACGACGGGAAUGCCUCGAAAAGUUUUUGAAAACAGGUUUGAUUAAACCUUGCAGCUCCCCACAUGACAUCCCAUCCUCCUGGUAAAAAAAAAAAUCCAAACCCAGCAAGAGUAUCGUUUUGCCCAAGACGCGAGGGCUGUUACCGAGAUGGCCCACGAUUUGCACCCUGUGGUUCUGACCCACCCCCUACUCACACCUGUGCCGGGAGAAGGCGGCUGGGUGACGGUUUUAGACUCGAAAGGUGCUUUUCUCUGCAUCCCUAUUGCAAAAGAAUCACAGCAGCUGCUGGGCCUGGAAUGGGAGGGCCCAGAAACAGCACUGCCCGGCAGUCCUGCCCAAGGAUUUCAGAGUCCCCCCACCUCGUUUGGGGGAAUGCUGGCCAGGGACCUUGGAAACUUCACACAGGACGAAGGACUCUUACCCACCAUGCGGAUGGACGGCCUGCUCACAGCAAGCCCGCCCUACCAUGCGUGUCGGCAGAAGAUCCGCAGAAGCCGGCUCCUCCCAGACGGAGGCUCCAGUCUGAAAGCAACGAGUCUCGCGUCUGGGUUUGGCCCUUUCCCAAGGACAGCGGAGUCUUCUGCCCGAGACAGCAAACAGGCACCUGCAGGCUUGGGCGCACCUGAGACUCGCCGGCACCCGCGAGGGUUUCUGGGAAUGGCAGGAUUCUGCAGGAUCUGGACCCCCUCAUCGGAUGCGCUCAUCGUCAAAGCCCCUCUGAGGCCUUAAAGGGACAUGACCUUGAGCCCCUCACGUGGACUACGGAGCGCCAAAGAGCCUUGGCGACGAGAAAGACAAGGUCAGUGGAACCCCGGCCUGGGGACUGCCAGACCUAAGAAACCUUUCAAAUGGGGCGUCCAUGAGAUACAUCUCGGGGUGUUCACUCAGUCCCCGGGGAGUCUCCCCCGACCUCUGCCUGCUUCUCAAAACAGCUGGAGCAGACUGCCUCCGAGCUCUGGCAGCUACCUGUGACCCGCCCGAGGAAGCUGAGACAUUUACCCCGGGGCCGCCCACCUCUGUGUGUGUCCCUUGUCCUCUCUUUACCGGAACAACAAGGGGGCUACUGGCUGACCCCCAGGAGGACGGGAAAGCACCAAGCCGUCCUCUUAGACAAUUCUCACUACGACUUCAAGUCACUUCCGCCCCAAGUCCAGCCGCGCUGCUCCCGGUCGAUGCCGCACCGUCCCCAGAGCGCGGCUGCCUCCGUGUCGCUGGGCUGGUGAGCUCCAGGACACGGGACCAUCGGACCAGCCCUUGGCUGAGCCACACGUGGGACGGUUCACGAGGCAAACGGCUUCAUGGACCGAGGGCGGCGUCGCCAUGAGGAUGCGCUGGUGACCCUUGAAAAUGCUGCUGAAGCAAAAGCCCUGCCGCCCGGGAGCUCGGCUCAGAAGGCAGAGACCAGGGCUCUGACAGGAGCCCUGCGGCCACCGGGGGGAAAUGCAGACACACGGGCACAGACCCUAAGCGUGCCGUCUCCGGGGCGCACGCCCUCGGGGCAGUCCGGAGACAGGGGCUCCCCACUUCAAACCAUAAAGACACAAAACCUGUCCCUGUCAGAGGCAGUCCAUACGCCCUCACAAGCAGCCAGGAUGCCCCGCCCAGGCCACCGAAAGGGCGACGCUCAGGGAAUGAAAUGCAAGCGGACAGCUGAGCAAGCUGCAGAGGAGCCGCAAAGGAAGGCGGUUCUCCAGCCGUCAGGGUCCCUUCGCCCGGACGGACUUGUCAGAAUAGCAGCCGGUACAUCCAGAAAAGGACCAGGAGAGGGCCAGAGAGUGGGGUUCAGUCUUGACCAGGCCUCGCCUGGCUGGAAAUGCAGGGCACGAGGAGGUGUUUCAACCCCCGAGACCCUCCUGGACCCAGUGCUCCAGCGCAUUCCUAGGCGUCCCGCGACGGGAGAGGCGCCAGCUUGCCACGGAUUCAAAAACUGAUGAUGAGAUCUGACCUAUAAAGCACCAUCCAGCGAGUCGCUCAAAACUGCAUGCUUUGUGCUCAAACAAUCCAAAGGCUACUGUGAGGCCUCCCCAGAUGGGGACCCAACACAGAGGGACCUGCCCCCCAGAAGACUGGCAAAUAGAAUCGAGCUGCAGGACCUUUCCGAUACCUGCUAGUAUUUGUGGGCACUUUUUCAGGAUGGGUGGAGGCCGAUCCUAUCAGCACAGAAAAAGCCUCCAAGGUGGCUAAAGCCCUCCUGAAGGAAAUCAGGCCCCGAGGUGGGCCCCCUAACUCCCUUCGAAGGGACAAUGGGCCUACUUCUGUCCCUGGCACAGCCCAGCAAGUGCCGAAAGCCCCGCCCGUUAAUUGGGAGCGACAUUCACCCUGGAGACCACGAGCCACAGGAAAGGCCGAGAAAACGAGCCGACGCUAAAGAGGAGCAUGGCUCAGAGUGUCAGGAGACCAUUUACCUGGGGAUGAGGCCGGGCCGGCUGCCCUGCUGUGGGUCACAGCGGCUCCCAGAAGCAGGCUUGACUGAAGCCCCCUCGAAACAGUGUGUGGUGGGGGCGGGGGGCGGGGUGUGUCUGUCUGUCUGUCUGUCUCUAAGUGCUCUGAAAGUUCCAGCAGUUGCCAACCAUGCCAGGACUCUGGGCACUCUGCCAACCUCUGUUCAGGAGUUUGCUUCCAGCAGGUCUGCCCAUGCACCUGAGGUAGCUUACACCCUUUCUGACCUGGAGACGGAGUCCUCCUUACACCUGGAGAGAAGAAGGGCCCGAGCGCCAGCUGACUGCAGGUGGGCAGGACCCCACGUGGCGUUACCGACACGCACUCACCCGUCAGGUUAUAGCCGGAGUAAAGCCUCGGAUUCGUCACGCUCGGGUCAGAGGAGCCCCACUGCCACCAGGCAAUGACCUGACUCCCGAGGGGCCCAGGGAGCCAUGGGUUUGCGACCCCUUCAAAGACAUAUGGUUGCUCUGGAAAAAGGAUAGGUGCUGAGGUCAGAGCUUCAGUGGAGCAGGAAUUUUACUAGGUUUAAAUAGUUGAAGGUAAAGAGACCUGUAUUGCUUCCUAUUCCCAGAACAAGGCUGAUGAGCCCCAUCCAUCAUCACCCCCCACCGCCCAUGGUCGGCAGGAAGUCGCCAGGAAGGUCGAGGCCCCCUUCCCACGAGCCCGUGGAAUGGACGUGGACGGGGGGAGCUGUGAGCGACAGACUGCCAGUGAGCGACCUUUAGUGGCCCUGCUCAGCCACGGGUCAGCACUGCAGUGAGCCCUGCCCCCACGCAAGUGACAGCUCAUGAGUGACCUUUGGCCCCUCCCCGUCCCCCUUCUCAGUGCAAAGGAGCCCGAAUUCGCUCUGAGGCAAGACGGUUUUUUGAGACCCCCGUUUGCCACCUUCUUAGUCUGCUAGCUUUCUGAUUAAAGUUGUUAUUCCUGAAUUUGCUGGCCUGUCAUGCCGUGAGCAGAGCCACCUGUGGUUUAGUGUCGGGGGAGGAGGAAAUGGGGCACUGUUACUCAGUGGGUGCAGAGUUUCUGUUUGGGGUGCUAAAAAGAUUUGCAAGUGGAGAGCAGUGGCAACGGAACAAGCUCUUGAAUGUAGUUAAUGCCUGGGACAUCUACCCUUCAAAAUGACGAAAGUGACAGAGUUUAUGCUGUGCAUAUUGUCAGACAAUGAAAAAGAUGAAAGGCAGGAAAAUGAACGCCAGCGCAUGUGCUGCUGUUCUGGGGAAAAGGAACAGGACAAAGGGAAGCAAAGAGGUCAAGCAAGAAAAACAGUAUGACGUCUGUGCCCCAAAAAGCAGUACAAAGGCGCAUGUAGCCUGACGAGGGUCCUGUCCUCUGAUCAUUUCUAGUCAGAGAAAGACAAACAUCAGAUGAUAUCACUUACAUGCGGAAUCUAAUAAGAAAUGAGACAAAAAUUAUAAAACAGAAACACGCUCACAGACGUCAAAACCAGUCUUACCGUCACCAUAGGGGAAACCGGGGGGGCUUAGGAGGAUGGGAAUAACCUAUACACACACUGACACAGAAGAGAGACGGGAAGAACCCACCGUAGAGCACGGGGAGAUCUACUCAACAGUCUGUUACAACUUACAUGGGAAAAAAGAACGGAGGUGUGUGUACACACACCCACACCCACCCCCGAACUGAUUCACUUGGCUCUACACCUGAAACCAAUACAACACUGGCAGUCAACUAAACUUCAA